rnacentral:rRNA from 1 species
GGGGAAUUUUGGACAAUGGGCGCAAGCCUGAUCCAGCCAUGCCGCGUGAGUGAAGAAGGCCUUCGGGUUGUAAAGCUCUUUCGGCCGGGAAGAAAUCGCACAGGUUAAUACCCUGUGUGGAUGACGGUACCGGAAUAAGAAGCACCGGCUAACUACGUGCCAGCAGCCGCGGUAAUACGUAGGGUGCGAGCGUUAAUCGGAAUUACUGGGCGUAAAGCGUGCGCAGGCGGUUUGUUAAGAUAGGCGUGAAAUCCCCGGGCUCAACCUGGGAACUGCGCUUAUGACUGGCAAGCUAGAGUACGGCAGAGGGGGGUGGAAUUCCACGUGUAGCAGUGAAAUGCGUAGAGAUGUGGAGGAACACCAAUGGCGAAGGCAGCCCCCUGGGUCGAUACUGACGCUCAUGCACGAAAGCGUGGGUAGCAAAC